rnacentral:tRNA from 1 species
GGCGAAUUAGUGUAGUGGUUUUAUCACGUGAUCUUCACACGGUCAAGGUCCCGAGUUCAAUCCUCGGAUUCGUCA